rnacentral:misc_RNA from 1 species
GAUGAAGAACGCAGCGAAAUGCGAUAAGUAAUGUGAAUUGCAGAAUUCAGUGAAUCAUCGAAUCUUUGAACGCACCUUGCGCUCCUUGGUAUUCCUUGGAGCAUGCCUGUUUGAGUAUCAUGAGCAAAUCUCAAAGUCGAUCCUUUUGUUAAUUCAAUUGGUUUGCUUUGGACUUGGAGGCCUUGCAGAUUUCACCGUCUGCUCCUCUUAAAUGCAUUAGCUGGAUCUCAGGAUUAUGCUUGGUUCCACUCGGCGUGAUAAGUAUCACUCGCUGAGGAACACUGUAAAAGGUGGCCAAGAAAAUACUGAUUGAACCGCUUCUAACGGUCUAUUAACUUAGACAAUUACCCUUAAGUUUGAUCUCAAAUCAGGUAGGACUACCCGCUGAACUUAAGCAUAUCAAUAAGCGGAGGA